AGAGGGACACCCCCAAGCCCAGGGAGCCCACAGGAGCUUCAGAAGGGCUCGGCUGGAGGGCGGGGCCCCUGUUGCACUUGCUCACUGGGGACUGGGGAGGCUCUGAUCGCAAACCGGGGGUGCUGCCACCUCUGUCUGCUGCCGGCAGAAAGCCACAAGCCAUGAAAACUGAUUGAGAUGAGAAGAAUUCAUCUGGGACUGGCUUUUGAUUUAGGAUGGUGUUGGAAGUUGCUCGUUGUCGCUAGGAGCCUGCUCCACUGUAAGGGUGUCGGGAUCUGAAGAGCUAUGGUGAAACACCACUGAAGCAUUGCAGACCUGCUGACAAAUGACUGAGUAAGAAGGCAUAAAUCUGAAGUGGGAGAAGUAGGUGCCUUCAGAAGCUGGUAAUCCGUGUGUAAUGCCGUCACAGGGAUGUGCGUUUAAGAUCUUUUAUCAAUCUUCGUAGCUAAAUACUUUUAGUUAAUUGCAGGUGGGAGGGGCUGCCAGCUCAGGCUACAUGGAGCAUGUGCUCAAAAAAUGUCUCCAAUAUGGCGACUUGCUGUUUGAGGAUGGUCUAAGCGACUGAGGAGUGUGCCCC
rnacentral:lncRNA from 1 species